UACGUAGGGGGCUAGCGUUGUCCGGAAUCAUUGGGCGUAAAGAGCGUGUAGGCGGUCCGGUAAGUCCGCUGUGAAAGUCGGGGGCUCAACCCUCGAAUGCCGGUGGAUACUGUCGGGCUAGAGUGCGGAAGAGGCGAGUGGAAUUCCUGGUGUAGCGGUGAAAUGCGCAGAUAUCAGGAGGAACACCUAUUGCGAAGGCAGCUCGCUGGGACGUUACUGACGCUGAGACGCGAAAGCGUGGAGAGCAAACAGG
rnacentral:rRNA from 1 species